GAUGAAGAACGUAGUGAAAUGCGAUAAGUAAUGUGAAUUGCAGAAUUCAGUGAAUCAUCGAAUCUUUGAACGUAUCUUGCGCUCCUUGGUAUUCUGAGGAGCAUGCCUGUUUGAGUGUCAUUAAAUUCUCAACUACACUGACUUUGAAUUGGUGUGGCUUGGAUUUGGGGGGAAAAUUGUUGUGGGCUUUUUGUAUAGUCUGCUCCCCUGAAAUUGAUUAGCGGUACCUUUGUGGAACUGUCUACAGGUGUGAUAAUUAUCUACAUCUUAGACAUCUGCUGGAAUGCUGCUUUCUAAACCUUACUUGUAUUGACAAUCUUGACCUCAAAUCAGGUAGGACUACCCGCUGAACUUAAGCAUAUCAAUAAGCGGAGGA
rnacentral:misc_RNA from 1 species